rnacentral:lncRNA from 1 species
UAUGUCUAAUCCCACAAUAAUGUCCACCUUCUCCUUCUACUCUAUCUCCGCCGCCGCCGGCUUCCACCUGUUAAGAUAUUAGGUCAACACGUCAUAACUGUCUUCCAACUUCCCAUGUGAAGGUUAGUAACUCAAUCACAACUUGUUUGAUUUCUUUAAUAAAAGGGGUUUUAAAAAUGUAUGAACAAAAUAUAUUAGAAUGAUAUCUCAGUUCAGAAUCAUUUCAAAAUAAAAGAUAUUUUGAAAUAUUUGAAUCACCAAUCAAAAGUUUCAUGGGCACGCUUCAAGGAUAAAUGUCAAGGAUAAAUGAUGGUUCUGUUAAUUAAUAAUGCAUCGUCAGUCGGCAGAUUAGGACCCCGAAAUUUUUGACACACCUGAAAAUAGUUCUCAGUUUCAUUUGAUUUUAAUCUUUUUUUCUUAACUUUUUACAUCAUUUCAUAAAAAUAGACAGAUAUUUACAGAAAAUGAUGAAGAUUACAAGUACUACUUUCAAAGCAAUAUAUAGACAUGUUUAUUCUUACUACUCAACUUGAGAAAAAAUGGUAUUUUGAUUCAACAUACCCUUCAGCGUCCCACAGAAAAGACCCAAAUGCUACAGAUUCCAGAAUAAGCAUUUUCAGUCCAUUAGAUGAAAUUGCAAUUGUUUCAUCAUUUGAAAUGUUAACAGAACCAUCAUCGGAAAUCUUGAUGUCCGGUCGGCCAAACAACGCCUGUGUUUGUUUCUCGAUCACUGAGAUCACUUCCUUCGAUCUUAUAGUGGCGUACCGUUGCAGUGUCUCAGGAUCAAGUUG